GCCUCUUUUCUAAGAUUGUAGGGAAUUGAGUUUUAUAAGAUUUGGUGUAACUAUUUGACUUACCUGGAUAUAAGCUGAUCUGCUUUGGGCCCCAUAUAAUUGCAUGUGACACCAAAUGGGAAAAGAGGAUGAAUAUUCUCCUUCCCCUCCCUUGGCGUGAAACUCAGCAGAAUUUUGACACUGUGACAGAAUUUUGGCACUGUGACAGAAUUUUGACAUUGUGACAGAAUUUUGACAUUGUGAUGACGGAGUCCAGGCAGGUCACAGGUGCUGCACUUGAAUGGGGGAUAAUUGAUAAGUGUGAAUGAGAGGAGUAGCAGGAAGAGGAUGAUUUGCCAUUUUGCAAAAAGGCAUUAACUAGAGAAACUGGGACCAGAUUUACCCUUUUAUCUGGAACAACUGCAAACACUUAAAGGCAAACAGUAUGAAAACAACAGUUUAAGGCACAAGCCAUCCAACAAUGAAGGAUGAUGAAUCCUGAGAGACUGGAAAUGAAGGAUCUGAACUAUUUGAUUUCCCAAACUCACUGCCUUCAGAGUUUUCAGGCUGCAGCACAAAGAAGGGGGAACCCAGGCAGAGCCCAGUGGAUUCCCUGAGAGGAGUCACAGAGGGAUCCUAGUGAAGAGGAUUAUAACUUUGCCUGUUUUGUGAUGCGGAGGUGAUGUCAUGUUGUUCUACCAUUUUAUCAUUGUUCCUUCUGAGCCUGAGUGUUCUUUCUCUUGAAGAUUCAAGUGAACCAGGGAAGGAGAAUGACAUCAGACUGGGCUUGUGCCUGAUAAUUCAUUUCUGAAGUGCUUCAAGAUUGACGCAUCAGAUUUGCACAAUGUGCCACUUUAGGAGAUUAUUUCUUCCUUCCUUCAGCCAGACAGAAGACUGCAGUAGGGAUAUGGUUCCUGUUUGCCUAUUUCCAUCCACAACUCUGCCAGAGACGAAAGCAGUGUUUGAAACAAUUCACCAAGAUUUCCAUCUGGAAUCAUCAAGAAUGGAAUUGAUCAAAUUCCUUAAGAAAUUUACUUAAAGUCAUGAUUUUGACAGCCUAGUGCUACCUGGAAAAGGGACAGCAGCAGCCUGGAGCAGUUUUCUAGCUAACAAGAAUUUUGUUAGCUAUGUGGCCACCUAGUGGCUCUUCCAUGGAUGUCGCUGAUGCAUUGUCAGGGCAAUAACAGAGAAAUAGAGGCCACCAUCUGUGUGAAUACUUCACUGUGAUUAUCUCUCACCAUCAUCAAAUAGUUCAGAGCACUGAUCCUCACGAGUUGGACAUUUCCCCAUGAAACAGUAGCCUUCUGAGUUCUUGCAAGGAAAUCCAUUGACCCUGAACUGGUCCUUAGGACAGGCAGGCGAGUGGCCAGUGCACAUCUCAGGAAAAUCACAUUCAUCUUUCGCCGGUCUGCAUAUGGACCCUGCUUUUUUUAUCUGUUGAGGAAAAACAAAGAGACUAAAUCCUGGAUACAUUUAGGGUCAUACUGCUUCCCUGUACUGAAGUGUGAUGUGAGACUAUUCAACUGCUGAAGAUCUGAUUUUACCUUUUGCUCAAGCUGUCCAUUAUUUCAGGCUGACUUUUAUUUUUUAAUGUAUCAUUAAAUAACAUCAAAAUGGUAACUUAUGCCCUAUUUUCUCAAACAAAAUAAAAACUCAAAGAAAAUGGAGUGUGGCCGGAUAAGGUACCUCAUGUGUUAGAAUGAAUCUAUGGAACCAUUCCAAAGAAUGCAUAUGGACAGGAGGAUCAUUUUCCAAAAUUAAGAGCCUCUUUGCGUUUAACCUGAGACAUUUGAAGACAUUCUUAUAACCUUUGGACAGGUUACUGUCCCCAGUCU
rnacentral:lncRNA from 1 species